UGAACAACUUUCCAUCCUCACCUAACCUUUGGAUCAUCGAUGUAGAAAAUUUGCUUGGCCAUAGUUGCCAAAAUGUACGGGUCUUCACUUUACCAACAUCGGGUAGUAUUCAUCGAUAGUAAAUUAUCAUCUUGUUUAACACUCGCAUUCCUACUAGUGUCUAUAUUGAACCAACAACACUUAAAAGGGAUGACUUGGGCAAUGGUCUUUGUGAAGCAAUCGAACCACACUUGUUAGUUUGCCAUAGAAAUCAAUAUCUGCAAUAUCUCCCGCUCCUGGGACAUGUACACCGCUAUUUUGAGUACAAAGUUUGUCAUCAUGAUCAACUUCCAAGAAUUUUAUGUUGUUCACAUGACACCCUGAGUACAGUUUUGCGCUUAAAGGUUUGAUAGCCAAGUUGUAUAAUUCAUCAGUAUAUGCGAGAGAAUUGGUUUCCUUCAGUUUUUUCAACUAAUUUAUACUGAAAAAUUUACAUGUUGGUUUUACCAAAAUUUAAGACAACUAACAUGCAAUUAUAUUUUAGGACAAAACCAACAAAAAAACCUAAACAACUUGUUUACAAAACCAACGAGGAAACAGGUCACGGUGCUUCACGACAUAUAAAUGCGAAGGAUGUUCCCGCUUCAUCAACUCUUCAUACUCAUCUAGGUACUCAAUUAUCUCGUCGCAAUUUUUAAGUACGCACCAAUGAGCUACUUGCAUGUCCCUUUCAAUGAACGAAUCGCCUCGUACUGGUUCGCUAAAUGGUCGUGCGAUUUGGGCAAACAUGAAUAGUUUUUGCACGGUGUGGUCGAUUGAAUGUUGUCUCAACAUCUUGUAAGUAAAUAGCACAAAACGCAUUCGUCUCAAAUGCACCCAAGCCUUCACAAUUGAUCAUUCGGGCUUCACCUUGUUCCUUACACUCUUCUUUAACUAACCCAGUAAUCUGUAAAAAUAAAAUUAUGAUGAUUCAAAUAAGUUAAAUCGUUAAUUGAUCAUGAAUUAAUUAAUGACUAAAGGCUUUAUACCUUUCGAUUGGAUACAUCCAUCGAUAGUUGACGGUUCCGGCAAGUAAUGCCUUAUCUGGCAAUUGAAUUAUCAUGUGGAUCAUUGAUAGGAGCAUAUUUAUGCGACUGAGUUAGCUUGUUCUCAUGCAUUUAUGUUGUUAUUCCUUAGUUGUUUUAGUGUUUAAAGUCAUUUUCGUGAAAUUUCAGGUUCUAAGGACAAAGUAUGCAAUAAGGUGCAUUUUGGAGCAGUUUUGGGCUUGGAAUGGAUAGCACAUGCAUGGAGCAAAUGUUGGAGAUAUGCCCUGAAAGUCAAUCUUUGGAAGAAACCUUUCAGGACAAUGAAUGAGUGUAUAGAUGACUCUUAUACAUCAAAAGGCAAAGAUACUAAUUAGGACUAUCUUAGUAAAUGAUAUAUGUCCUAAAUAGUGAAUCCAUGGAUAAUGGAUCAAUGGAAGAAGUAAUCUAAUGAUGUUAGACUACAGAGACCUUCUUCACAUAACCAUUAUGUCCAAAAAGGUUCCUGGUCAUAAGAUUGUCAGAGGGAUACUGACAAUGCAUAGACCAGUACAUACUAUGUCCCUUUCAAUUGGAAGGAUGGAAAGUCUCAUCCCAUUCGUGUAGUGACACUAAGACAGGUAUGUAGGUGCUCAUUGAGGGAAUGAGUUCACUGAAUACAAUCGAACAAGAGUACUUGCAUGGAGGUCUACUCACAUGUCAAGCAAGUAACUCUAAUGGUUGGAAUAAUGUAAGUAAUCCUUUGACCUGAGACAUCAUAGUUGUCUUGGGGAUACGUUGCUGAUCAUUUUGAUAAUGAGACGUGACCACACCUCAUCUUGGGUGUGUUCUAUGCAUUGUUGGGGUCAGUGAUUUAUUCUCAGAGGCAUGUGAAUGAUCAACAAGGGAUAUCUAAUCCUCGUUAUGAGAGGAUGAAUACUCUAAGAUAUGAUUCGGGAAUCUUCGGCCGAAAUAUCGAGCGUAAUAAAGGAAAGCGUUCCUA
rnacentral:lncRNA from 1 species